AUGAAGCCGGAAUUGCUAGUAAUGGCAGGUCAGCAUACUGCCGUGAAUACGUUCCCGGGCCUUGUACACACCGCCCGUCACACCAUGGGAGCCGGAAAUGCCCGAAGUCAGUGGCCCAACCGCAAGGGGGAGCUGCCGAAGGCAGGUCUGGUAACUGGGGUGAAGUCGUAACAAGGUAGC
rnacentral:rRNA from 1 species